rnacentral:ncRNA from 2 species
AAUAUUCAAAGUGAUGAGGCUCACUUGAAUUGCUGAAAAGCUGAUGGCUUCUACCUUAAG